rnacentral:rRNA from 1 species
UACAGAGGGUGCGAGCGUUAAUCGGAAUUACUGGGCGUAAAGGGCGCGUAGGCGGAUAUGCAAGUGAGAUGUGAAAUACCCGGGCUUAACCUGGGAACUGCAUCUUAAACUGCAUGUCUAGAGUAUUGUAGAGGACAGUGGAAUUUCCGGUGUAGCGGUGAAAUGCGUAGAGAUCGGAAGGAACAUCAGUGGCGAAGGCGACUGUCUGGACAAAUACUGACGCUGAGGCGCGAAAGCGUGGGGAGCAAACAGG